GGCUCUAUAGUGUAGUGGUUAACACGCCAGCCUGUCACGUUGGUAGCCCGGGUUCGAGCCCCGGUAGAGUCG
rnacentral:tRNA from 1 species